GACGAACGCUGGCGGCGUGCUUAACACAUGCAAGUCGAACGGAAAGGCCCUGCUUUUGUGGGGUGCUCGAGUGGCGAACGGGUGAGUAACACGUGAGUAACCUGCCCUUGACUUUGGGAUAACUUCAGGAAACUGGGGCUAAUACCGGAUAGGAGCUCCUGAUGCAUGGUGGGGGUUGGAAAGUUUCGGCGGUUGGGGAUGGACUCGCGGCUUAUCAGCUUGUUGGGGGGGUAGUGGCUGACCAAGGCUUUGACGGGUAGCCGGCCUGGGAGGGUGACCGGCCACAUUGGGCCUGAGGUACGGCCCAGACUCCUACGGGAGGCAGCAGUCGGGAAUAUUGCACAAUGGGCGGAAGCCUGAUGCAGCAACGCCGGGUGCGGGAUGACGGCCUUCGGGUUGUAAACCGCUUUCGCCUGUGACGAAGCGUGAGUGACGGUAAUGGGUCAAGAAGCACCGGCUAACUACGUG
rnacentral:rRNA from 1 species